rnacentral:rRNA from 1 species
UAGGGAAUCUUCCGCAAUGGACGCAAGUCUGACGGAGCAACGCCGCGUGAGUGAAGAAGGAUUUCGGUUCGUAAAACUCUGUUGUUAGAGAAGAACAGCGCAUAGAGUAACUGUUAUGCGUGUGACGGUAUCUAACCAGAAAGCCACGGCUAACUACGUGCCAGCAGCCGCGGUAAUACGUAGGUGGCAAGCGUUGUCCGGAUUUAUUGGGCGUAAAGCGCGCGUAGGCGGUUUUUUAAGUCUGAUGUGAAAGCCCACGGCUCAACCGUGGAGGGUCAUUGGAAACUGGAAAACUUGAGUGCAGAAGAGGAAAGUGGAAUUCCAUGUGUAGCGGUGAAAUGCGCAGAGAUAUGGAGGAACACCAGUGGCGAAGGCGACUUUCUGGUCUGUAACUGACGCUGAUGUGCGAAAGCGUGGGAAUCAAACAGG